GGUUAAGUUAGAAAGGGCGCACGGUGGAUGCCUUGGCACUAGGAGCCGAUGAAGGACGGGACGAACACCGAUAUGCUUCGGGGAGCUGUAAGCAAGCUUUGAUCCGGAGAUUUCCGAAUGGGGAAACCCACCACUCGUAAUGGAGUGGUAUCCAUAUCUGAAUACAUAGGAUAUGAGAAGGCAGACCCGGGGAACUGAAACAUCUAAGUACCCGGAGGAAGAGAAAGCAAAUGCGAUUCCCUGAGUAGCGGCGAGCGAAACGGGAUCAGCCCAAACCAAGAGGCUUGCCUCUUGGGGUUGUAGGACACUCUGUACGGAGUUACAAAGGAACGAGGUAGAUGAAGAGGUCUGGAAAGGCCCGCCAUAGGAGGUAACAGCCCUGUAGUCAAAACUUCGUUCUCUCCUGAGUGGAUCCUGAGUACGGCGGAACACGUGAAAUUCCGUCGGAAUCCGGGAGGACCAUCUCCCAAGGCUAAAUACUCCCUAGUGACCGAUAGUGAACCAGUACCGUGAGGGAAAGGUGAAAAGCACCCCGGAAGGGGAGUGAAAGAGAUCCUGAAACCGUGUGCCUACAAGUAGUCAGAGCCCGUUAACGGGUGAUGGCGUGCCUUUUGUAGAAUGAACCGGCGAGUUACGAUCCCGUGCAAGGUUAAGCAGAAGAUGCGGAGCCGCAGCGAAAGCGAGUCUGAAUAGGGCGAAUUGAGUACGUGGUCGUAGACCCGAAACCAGGUGAUCUACCCAUGUCCAGGGUGAAGUUCAGGUAACACUGAAUGGAGGCCCGAACCCACGCACGUUGAAAAGUGCGGGGAUGAGGUGUGGGUAGGGGUGAAAUGCCAAUCGAACCUGGAGAUAGCUGGUUCUCUCCGAAAUAGCUUUAGGGCUAGCCUCAAGGUAAGAGUCUCGGAGGUAGAGCACUGAUUGGACUAGGGGCCCCUACCGGGUUACCGAAUUCAGUCAAACUCCGAAUGCCGAUGACUUAUCCUUGGGAGUCAGACUGCGAGUGAUAAGAUCCGUAGUCGAAAGGGAAACAGCCCAGACCGCCAGCUAAGGUCCCAAAGUAUACGUUAAGUGGAAAAGGAUGUGGAGUUGCUUAGACAACCAGGAUGUUGGCUUAGAAGCAGCCACCAUUUAAAGAGUGCGUAAUAGCUCACUGGUCGAGUGACUCUGCGCCGAAAAUGUACCGGGGCUAAACGUAUCACCGAAGCUGCGGACUGUUCUUCGAACAGUGGUAGGAGAGCGUUCUAAGGGCUGUGAAGCAAGACCGGAAGGACUUGUGGAGCGCUUAGAAGUGAGAAUGCCGGUAUGAGUAGCGAAAGAGGGGUGAGAAUCCCCUCCACCGAAUGCCUAAGGUUUCCUGAGGAAGGCUCGUCCGCUCAGGGUUAGUCGGGACCUAAGCCGAGGCCGAAAGGCGUAGGCGAUGGACAACAGGUUGAUAUUCCUGUACCACCUCCUCACCAUUUGAGCAAUGGGGGGACGCAGGAGGAUAGGGUAAGCGCGGUAUUGGAUAUCCGCGUCCAAGCAGUUAGGCUGGGAAAUAGGCAAAUCCGUUUCCCGUGAAGGCUGAGCUGUGAUGGCGAGCGAAUUAUAGUAGCGAAGUUCCUGAUUCCACACUGCCAAGAAAAGCCUCUAGCGAGGUGAGAGGUGCCCGUACCGCAAACCGACACAGGUAGGCGAGGAGAGAAUCCUAAGGUGAUCGAGAGAACUCUCGUUAAGGAACUCGGCAAAAUGACCCCGUAACUUCGGGAGAAGGGGUGCUCUGUUAGGGUGCAAGCCCGAGAGAGCCGCAGUGAAUAGGCCCAGGCGACUGUUUAGCAAAAACACAGGUCUCUGCGAAGCCGUAAGGCGAAGUAUAGGGGCUGACGCCUGCCCGGUGCUGGAAGGUUAAGAGGAGCGCUUAGCGUAAGCGAAGGUGCGAAUUGAAGCCCCAGUAAACGGCGGCCGUAACUAUAACGGUCCUAAGGUAGCGAAAUUCCUUGUCGGGUAAGUUCCGACCCGCACGAAAGGCGCAACGAUCUGGGCACUGUCUCAACGAGAGACUCGGUGAAAUUAUAGUACCUGUGAAGAUGCAGGUUACCCGCGACAGGACGGAAAGACCCCGUGGAGCUUUACUGCAGCCUGAUAUUGAAUGUUGGUACAGCUUGUACAGGAUAGGUAGGAGCCUUGGAAACCGGAGCGCCAGCUUCGGUGGAGGCAUCGGUGGGAUACUACCCUGGCUGUAUUGACCUUCUAACCCGCCGCCCUUAUCGGGCGGGGAGACAGUGUCAGGUGGGCAGUUUGACUGGGGCGGUCGCCUCCUAAAAGGUAACGGAGGCGCCCAAAGGUUCCCUCAGAAUGGUUGGAAAUCAUUCGCAGAGUGUAAAGGCACAAGGGAGCUUGACUGCGAGACCUACAAGUCGAGCAGGGACGAAAGUCGGGCUUAGUGAUCCGGUGGUUCCGCAUGGAAGGGCCAUCGCUCAACGGAUAAAAGCUACCCCGGGGAUAACAGGCUUAUCUCCCCCAAGAGUCCACAUCGACGGGGAGGUUUGGCACCUCGAUGUCGGCUCAUCGCAUCCUGGGGCUGUAGUCGGUCCCAAGGGUUGGGCUGUUCGCCCAUUAAAGCGGUACGCGAGCUGGGUUCAGAACGUCGUGAGACAGUUCGGUCCCUAUCCGUCGCGGGCGCAGGAAAUUUGAGAGGAGCUGUCCUUAGUACGAGAGGACCGGGAUGGACGCACCGCUGGUGUACCAGUUGUUCUGCCAAGGGCAUCGCUGGGUAGCUAUGUGCGGACGGGAUAAGUGCUGAAAGCAUCUAAGCAUGAAGCCCCCCUCAAGAUGAGAUUUCCCAUUCCGCAAGGAAGUAAGAUCCCUGAAAGAUGAUCAGGUUGAUAGGUCUGAGGUGGAAGUGUGGCGACACAUGGAGCUGACAGAUACUAAUCGAUCGAGGACUUAACCAA
rnacentral:rRNA from 1 species